GUUUGAUACGCUGAAGAAAUGCUUGGCUGAAUCUCAACGUGUUCUUAAAGCAUUGGGGAUGGAUUAUUUAGAGAGGGCUGCUGAUUAUGAUGCUUUAAAAUGCUUCAGAAAAGCUUAGGGCCUUAAAUCUGCUAUGCAUUCAUGUUCUUGGAACGAAAAAGCUAAGAAAUUGGAUAGAAGACCAAAACAAACAAUUUGAGCAGAAGACAAAGGAAGCUAAAUCAAAGGUUUUUGAUGCUACAGGCAAGACUUCGCAGCUGAAAAUUAAAGGUGACAUUGCCAAAGCAAUUGAUGCUAGGGAUGGGGA